AAGCUCGUAGUUGAAUUUCGGGGUUAGUAGGUUGGUCAUGCCUCUGGUAUGUACUGGUCUCACUGAUUCCUCCUUCCUUAUGAACCGUAAUGCCAUUAAUUUGGUGUUGCGGGGAAUUUGGACUGUUACUUUGAAAAAAUUAAGAGUGUUUAAAGCAAGCUAACGCUUGAAUACAUUAGCAUGGAAUAAUGAAAUAGGACGUUCGAUCUUAUUUUGUUUGGUUUUCUUAGGAUUGACGUAAUGAUUAAUAGGGAUAGUUGGG
rnacentral:rRNA from 1 species